rnacentral:rRNA from 1 species
AGUUUGAUUAUGGCUCAGAUUGAACGCUGGCGGGAUGCUUUACAUACCGUCGGAGCAGCGGCACGGACUUCGGUCUGGUGGCGAGUGGCGAACGGGUGAGUAAUGUAUCGGAACGUGCCUAGUAGCGGGGGAUAACUACGCGAAAGCGUAGCUAAUACCGCAUACGCCCUUCGGGGGAAAGCGGGGGACCUUCGGGCCUCGCACUAUUAGAGCGGCCACGAUAUCGGAUUGGCUAGUUGGUGGGGUAACGGCUCACCAGGCGACGAUCCGUAGCUGGCACGAGAGGACGACCAGCCACACUGGGACUGAAGACACGGCCCAGACUCCUACAGGAGGCAGCAGUGAAAUUUUGGACAAUGGGGGAAACUAGUCCAGCCAUCCCGCGUGUGCGAUGAAGGCCUUCGGGUUGUAAAGCACUUUUGGCAGGAAAAGCUUGGCGCAGGAUAAUACCCCGUGCAACUGACGGUACCUGCAGAAUAAGCACCGGCUAACUACGUGCCAGCAGCCGCGGUAAUACGUAGGGUGCAAGCGUUAAUCGGAAUUACUGGGCGUAAAGCGUGCGCAGGCGGUUCGGAAGAAGAUGUGAAAUCCCAGAACUUAACGGAACUGCAUUUUUUUAACUACCGAGCUAGAGUGUGUCAGAGAAAUUGGAAUUCCGCGUGUAGCGGUGAAAUGCGUAGAUAUGCGGAGGAACACCGAUGGCGAAGGCAGCCUCCCUGGGAUAACACUGACGCUCAUGCACGAAAACGUAGGGAGCAAACAGGAUUAGAUACCCUGGUAGUCCACGCCCUAAACGAUGUCAACUAGCUGUUAGGCCUUCGGGCAUAAGUGGCUGCGCGUGAAGUUGACCGCCUGGGAAGUACGGUGAAGCAAGAUUAAAACUCAAAGAAAUUGUGGGGACCCGCACAAGCGGUGGAUGAUGUGGAUUAAUUCUAUGCAACGCGAAAACCUUACCUACCCUUGACAUGUCUGGAAUCCCGAAGAGAUUUGGGAGUGCUCGCAAGAGAACCGGAACACAGGUGCUGCAUGUCGUCAGCUCGUGUCGUGAGGAUGUUGGGUUAAGUCCGCAAUGACGCAACCCUUGUCAUUAGUUGCUACGAAAGGGCACUCUAAUGAGACUGCCGGUGACAAACCGGAGGAAGGUGGGGAUGACGUCAAGUCCUCAUGGCCCUUAUGGUGAGGCUUCACCUCGUACAAUGGUCGGGACGGAGAUCAACCCGCGAGAACCAGAAACCCGAUCAUAGUCCGGAUCCCUGCCAGUCUGCAACUCGACUGCGUGAUCAGAAUCUUCUUAGUAAUCGCGGAUCAGCAUGUCGCGGUGAAUACGUUCCGGGUCUUAACACCGCCCGUCACACCAUGGAGUGGGUUUUACCAGUAGUUAGCCUAACCGUAAGGGGAGAGGGCGAUUACCACGGUAGGAUUCAUGACUGGUGAAGUCGUAACAAGGUAA